CCUACGGGAGGCAGCAGUGGGGAAUAUUGCACAAUGGCGGAAACCCUGAUGCAGCGACGCCGCGUGAGUGACGAAGUAAUUCGUUAUGUAAAGCUCUAUCAGCAGGGAAGAAAAUGACGGUACCUGAGUAAGAAGCCCCGGCUAACUACGUGCCAGCAGCCGCGGUCAUACGUAGGGGGCAAGCGUUAUCCGGAUUGACUGGGGGUAAAGGGAGCGUAGACGGCAGUGCAAGUCUGGAGUGAAAGGCGGGGGCUCAACCCCCGUACUGCUCUGGAAACUGUACGGCUGGAGUGCAGGAGAGGUAAGUGGAAUUACUAGUGUAGCGGUGAAAUGCGUAGAUAUUAGGAGGAACACCAGUGGCGAAGGCGGCUUACUGGACUGUAACUGACGUUGAGGCUCGAAAGCGUGGGGAGCAAACAGGAUUAGAUACCCUGGUAGUC
rnacentral:rRNA from 1 species